GCGGGUGUAACUCAGUUGGCAGAGUGACAGCUUCCCAAGCUGUAUGUCGAGGGUUCGAAUCCCUUCACCCGCUUCA
rnacentral:tRNA from 1 species